rnacentral:lncRNA from 1 species
AGUUGCCACCCAAGUCUAUAGACCAAGAACUAAAGUGUCAUAAAAAUAAGAGAUGUUACCAUACCUUCAAAAUACCAGUCUUACACAGGGUGGAAUGACGUUCAAUAACCUGGUAACCAAGCGACUAUAAUCUUGUAAUGGAGUGGCCAUAACUGAAAUAUAACCUCCUAACCAAGUGACUAUAACAACCAUAAAAGAAACCCAUUGAAACAUAUGAACAUGACAUCUAGUUUCGAAGAUCUUGUCGCGAUACUCUUAACCGCGCAAACAGAUGACAAAUCACGUAAACUUUUUAGGCACAGUUGCAUUUUAAAAUUACAGAUAGAAAUAUAGGAUGACAUCAUUGUUUCCUCACACAAAAAAUAAGAUGCUUCAAACAAGUACAUAUACCAUAAACACCCGUCACCUGCGAUAUGCCACAACUGCUUAUACAUGUGCAACCACAAUUGAAUUCCACAGUAAAUAGCAAAUCCCAUAGAUAACCAAAAAAGGCACACUCCAGACUGAAACACAAGAGAAAAUCAUCUCACUACUAGAAACAACCCAAUCAUAGUCACAUGAACAAAGACGGGUAUCCUAAAUUCAACAGCUUAAGGCUUAAUAACAGGCGGUUUUCAUUCUAAGCCGUCUGAGAAAGGGUCAUAGUUGGCUUCAGAGUAGAGCCAACAGAGAGAAAUGUUGUAUGUGCAGAACUUGAUUCGGGAGCUUGACCCCAAGUGUCCUUCUCAAGACACAUGGGCUCAUGUUUGGUGGCCUACCCACUCAUCACAUAAAUACUAGUCAUGCUUGUGCAUAGCAUGAUGGUCCACUUUGAUUCUAUUAGUCAAUUUCAGUACUGAAAACACAUAUUUCAGUUCAGUCUUGGAAGGGAAAAGUAAACACACACGGCUUCACAAAAUUCAUGUCGAUGGGAUUGUUCUUUUGCUCCGAACAUUGUAA